GCGCCGGUGGUGUAAUGGCGUAGAGAAUUCCCGCCCGGUUAGAGGGAGGUGCGGGUUCGAGUCCCGCCUGGCGCA
rfam:Heligmosomoides polygyrus genome assembly, scaffold: HPBE_contig0000733